UAGUUGCAACAAAAAAUCAUACAAUUAAAUUCAAAAAUGAAGUUUCUCAUAGGCAUGGAAAAUUCAUACCAUUUUGGAAUUGGGGAAUUGGUGUCGUUCGCUUUAAAAAUGACGAGUGUAGCGCUGCCGAUGGGUUAUCAGGAACUUGUUACACAAAAAGACAAUGUAGUGAUAUCGAUGGGAUUGCUUCCGGUGGUUGUGCUAGCAAUAUUGGAGUUUGUUGUGUUAUACAACGUUCUUGCGGAUCUACAUCGUCUUAUAAUAACACAUAUUUCGUAAGUUCACCGUCGUUUAAACAAACAACAGGAGCUAAUAAGUGUAUUUAUACAGUACCCAGAUGCGAUUCUGAUA